rfam:Ciona savignyi cont_9476, whole genome shotgun sequence.
GUCGGGCGUUGUGGCGUGCGCCUGUAAUCCAGUUACUUGGAGGCUUGGGUUGGAGGACGGUGUGAGAUUGGAAGCUCUGUGGCGCUCUGUCCUAUGUCGAUCGGGCGUCCGCGCUAAGCUCGGCGUCAAUAUGGGCAUUCCAGGGGAGCCCGGAGUGGCCAGGUUGUCUAAGAAGAAACGCAUCGGGCGAGGCCCGAAAGGGAGCAGCCAAAAGUUCCCACGUUGAUCAGUAGCGGGAUAGCGCCUGUGAAUAGGCGGAGCGUUGCAGCCCAGUCAAUAUCGCGGGAUUCAAAAACCCUUU